rnacentral:rRNA from 1 species
GGUUAAGCGACUAAGCGUACACGGUGGAUGCCCUGGCAGUCAGAGGCGAUGAAGGACGUGCUAAUCUGCGAUAAGCGUCGGUAAGGUGAUAUGAACCGUUAUAACCGGCGAUUUCCGAAUGGGGAAACCCAGUGUGAUUCGUCACACUAUCAUUAACUGAAUCCAUAGGUUAAUGAGGCGAACCGGGGGAACUGAAACAUCUAAGUACCCCGAGGAAAAGAAAUCAACCGAGAUUCCCCCAGUAGCGGCGAGCGAACGGGGAGCAGCCCAGAGCCUGAAUCAGUGUGUGUGUUAGUGGAAGCGUCUGGAAAGGCGCGCGAUACAGGGUGACAGCCCCGUACACAAAAAUGCACAUGCUGUGAGCUCGAUGAGUAGGGCGGGACACGUGGUAUCCUGUCUGAAUAUGGGGGGACCAUCCUCCAAGGCUAAAUACUCCUGACUGACCGAUAGUGAACCAGUACCGUGAGGGAAAGGCGAAAAGAACCCCGGCGAGGGGAGUGAAAAAGAACCUGAAACCGUGUACGUACAAGCAGUGGGAGCACAGAGCAAUCUGUGUGACUGCGUACCUUUUGUAUAAUGGGUCAGCGACUUAUAUUCUGUAGCAAGGUUAACCGAAUAGGGGAGCCGAAGGGAAACCGAGUCUUAACUGGGCGUUAAGUUGCAGGGUAUAGACCCGAAACCCGGUGAUCUAGCCAUGGGCAGGUUGAAGGUUGGGUAACACUAACUGGAGGACCGAACCGACUAAUGUUGAAAAAUUAGCGGAUGACUUGUGGCUGGGGGUGAAAGGCCAAUCAAACCGGGAGAUAGCUGGUUCUCCCCGAAAGCUAUUUAGGUAGCGCCUCGUGAAUUCAUCUCCGGGGGUAGAGCACUGUUUCGGCAAGGGGGUCAUCCCGACUUACCAACCCGAUGCAAACUGCGAAUACCGGAGAAUGUUAUCACGGGAGACACACGGCGGGUGCUAACGUCCGUCGUGAAGAGGGAAACAACCCAGACCGCCAGCUAAGGUCCCAAAGUCAUGGUUAAGUGGGAAACGAUGUGGGAAGGCCCAGACAGCCAGGAUGUUGGCUUAGAAGCAGCCAUCAUUUAAAGAAAGCGUAAUAGCUCACUGGUCGAGUCGGCCUGCGCGGAAGAUGUAACGGGGCUAAACCAUGCACCGAAGCUGCGGCAGCGACGCUGAUGCGUUGUUGGGUAGGGGAGCGUUCUGUAAGCCUGUGAAGGUGUGCUGUGAGGCAUGCUGGAGGUAUCAGAAGUGCGAAUGCUGACAUAAGUAACGAUAAAGCGGGUGAAAAGCCCGCUCGCCGGAAGACCAAGGGUUCCUGUCCAACGUUAAUCGGGGCAGGGUGAGUCGACCCCUAAGGCGAGGCCGAAAGGCGUAGUCGAUGGGAAACAGGUUAAUAUUCCUGUACUUGGUGUUACUGCGAAGGGGGGACGGAGAAGGCUAUGUUGGCCGGGCGACGGUUGUCCCGGUUUAAGCGUGUAGGCUGGUUUUCCAGGCAAAUCCGGAAAAUCAAGGCUGAGGCGUGAUGACGAGGCACUACGGUGCUGAAGCAACAAAUGCCCUGCUUCCAGGAAAAGCCUCUAAGCAUCAGGUAACAUCAAAUCGUACCCCAAACCGACACAGGUGGUCAGGUAGAGAAUACCAAGGCGCUUGAGAGAACUCGGGUGAAGGAACUAGGCAAAAUGGUGCCGUAACUUCGGGAGAAGGCACGCUGAUAUGUAGGUGAAGUCCCUCGCGGAUGGAGCUGAAAUCAGUCGAAGAUACCAGCUGGCUGCAACUGUUUAUUAAAAACACAGCACUGUGCAAACACGAAAGUGGACGUAUACGGUGUGACGCCUGCCCGGUGCCGGAAGGUUAAUUGAUGGGGUUAGCGGUAACGCGAAGCUCUUGAUCGAAGCCCCGGUAAACGGCGGCCGUAACUAUAACGGUCCUAAGGUAGCGAAAUUCCUUGUCGGGUAAGUUCCGACCUGCACGAAUGGCGUAAUGAUGGCCAGGCUGUCUCCACCCGAGACUCAGUGAAAUUGAACUCGCUGUGAAGAUGCAGUGUACCCGCGGCAAGACGGAAAGACCCCGUGAACCUUUACUAUAGCUUGACACUGAACAUUGAGCCUUGAUGUGUAGGAUAGGUGGGAGGCUUUGAAGUGUGGACGCCAGUCUGCAUGGAGCCGGCCUUGAAAUACCACCCUUUAAUGUUUGAUGUUCUAACGUUGGCCCCUGAUCGGGGUUGCGGACAGUGUCUGGUGGGUAGUUUGACUGGGGCGGUCUCCUCCUAAAGAGUAACGGAGGAGCACGAAGGUUGGCUAAUCCUGGUCGGACAUCAGGAGGUUAGUGCAAUGGCAUAAGCCAGCUUGACUGCGAGCGUGACGGCGCGAGCAGGUGCGAAAGCAGGUCAUAGUGAUCCGGUGGUUCUGAAUGGAAGGGCCAUCGCUCAACGGAUAAAAGGUACUCCGGGGAUAACAGGCUGAUACCGCCCAAGAGUUCAUAUCGACGGCGGUGUUUGGCACCUCGAUGUCGGCUCAUCACAUCCUGGGGCUGAAGUAGGUCCCAAGGGUAUGGCUGUUCGCCAUUUAAAGUGGUACGCGAGCUGGGUUUAGAACGUCGUGAGACAGUUCGGUCCCUAUCUGCCGUGGGCGCUGGAGAACUGAGGGGGGCUGCUCCUAGUACGAGAGGACCGGAGUGGACGCAUCACUGGUGUUCGGGUUGUCAUGCCAAUGGCACUGCCCGGUAGCUAAAUGCGGAAGAGAUAAGUGCUGAAAGCAUCUAAGCACGAAACUUGCCCCGAGAUGAGUUCUCCCUGACUCCUUGAGAGUCCUGAAGGAACGUUGAAGACGACGACGUUGAUAGGCCGGGUGUGUAAGCGCAGCGAUGCGUUGAGCUAACCGGUACUAAUGAACCGUGAGGCUUAACCUU